GACGAACGCUGGCGGCGUGCUUAACACAUGCAAGUCGAACGCUGAAGCUUGGUGCUUGCACUGGGUGGAUGAGUGGCGAACGGGUGAGUAAUACGUGAGUAACCUGCCCUUGACUCUGGGAUAAGCCUGGGAAACUGGGUCUAAUACUGGAUACGACAUGCCACUGCAUGGUGGUGUGUGGAAAGGGUUUUACUGGUUUUGGAUGGGCUCACGGCCUAUCAGCUUGUUGGUGGGGCAAUGGCCUACCAAGGCGACGACGGGUAGCCGGCCUGAGAGGGUGACCGGCCACACUGGGACUGAGACACGGCCCAGACUCCUACGGGAGGCAGCAGUGGGGAAUAUUGCACAAUGGGCGGAAGCCUGAUGCAGCGACGCCGCGUGAGGGAUGACGGCCUUCGGGUUGUAAACCUCUUUCAGCACGGAAGAAGCGAGAGUGACGGUACGUGCAGAAGAAGCGCCGGCUAACUACGUG
rnacentral:rRNA from 1 species